CCUAUGGUCAACCACCUGAAUGCACGUGAUCUCGUCGGAUCACAGAAGCUAAGCAGGUUGGAGCCUGUCAUGACUUGGAUGGGAGAUAGCACAAUGAAAAUCAGGAUAAUCUUGAGU
rnacentral:rRNA from 1 species